UUCCCCCAGUAACGGCGAGUGAAGCGGGAAUAGCUCAAGCUUGAAAUCUCUGUUGCUUGCAACAGCGAAUUGUAGUCUCGAGAAGCAUUUUCAAGACGGAUACGCGAUAUUCAAGUUGCUUGGAACAGCACACCGUAGAGGGUGACAGUCCCGUAUGCGAUAUCGCGUUCAGUUCACGAUGUGCUUUCAAUGAGUCGGGUUGAUUGGGAAUUCAGCCCAAAAUUGGUGGUAAACUCCAUCUAAAGCUAAAUAUUGGCACGAGACCGAUAGCGAACAAGUACCGUGAGGGAAAGAUGAAAAGAACUUUGAAAAGAAAGUUAAAUAGUACGUGAAACCGUUAAAAGGGAAGCGCAUGGAAAUAGCAAUUCGCUAGCGAGAUUCAGGCGAGCGGAGUGUGAAAUGAGCGUCGUACGGAUCUGAAUGGACCGUUGUUGUUCGUCUUUGCGCUCCGGUUGUCGCACUUCCCGUUAGUGAGCGUCAACAACUAUUGCAGUUGGGCGAUAAGUCCCGCGGAAAGGUAGCCUGGAUUCACGUCUGGGUGUUAUAGUCCGUGGCGUACCAGUUCGAUUGCGAUAGAGGCGCCGCAUCUCACGCCCUCUUCGGGGCUGCCUUCCCCGUCUUCGGUCGGCUGUCAACUAUGGUGGACUGCUUGCAGUGCACUUGAACCGCGGCUGGCCGUUGCUCGGGUGCUUGGACACUAUGAGAUUAGGUUGUUGGCGAUUAAAGGUUUUCAUGCGACCCGUCUUGAAACACGGACCAAGGAGUCUAACAUGUGUGCGAGUCUUCGGGUGAUCGAAACCCAUGGGCAUAAUGAAAGUAAAGGCUGCUUGCAGCUGAAGUGAGAUCCCUCCCCUCGGGGCGGGCGCAUCAUUGACCGACCUAUUCUACUCCUAGAAAGGUUUGAGUAAGAGCACAUCUGUUGGGACCCGAAAGAUGGUGAACUAUGCUUGAGUAGGGUGAAGUCAGA
rnacentral:rRNA from 1 species